AGUGAACGCUGGCGGUAGGCCUAACACAUGCAAGUCGAACGGCAGCACAGGAGAGCUUGCUCUCUGGGUGGCGAGUGGCGGACGGGUGAGGAAUACAUCGGAAUCUGCCCAGUCGUGGGGGAUAACGUAGGGAAACUUACGCUAAUACCGCAUACGACCUUCGGGUGAAAGAGGGGGAUCGCAAGACCUCUCGCGAUUGGAUGAGCCGAUGUCGGAUUAGCUAGUUGGCGGGGUAAUGGCCCACCAAGGCGACGAUCCGUAGCUGGUCUGAGAGGAUGAUCGGCAACACUGGAACUGAGACACGGUCCAGACUCCUACGGGGGGCAGCAGUGGGGAAUAUUAGACAGUGGGCGCAAGCCUGAUCCAGCCAUACCGCGUGGGUGAAGAAGGCCUUCGGGUUGUAAAGCCCUUUUGUUGGGAAAGAAAUCUUUCAGGCUAAUACCCUGGGAGGAUGACGGUACCCAAAGAAUAAGCACCGGCUAACUUCGUG
rnacentral:rRNA from 1 species